GACGUUAGCUGCAGAAGAAGCACCGGCUAACUCCGUGCCAGCAGCCGCGGUAAUACGGAGGGUGCGAGCGUUAAUCGGAAUUACUGGGCGUAAAGCGCAUGCAGGUGGUUUGUUAAGUCAGAUGUGAAAGCCCCGGGGCUCAACCUCGGAAUUGCAUUUUGAAACUGGCAAACUAGAGUACUGUAGAGGGGGUAGAAUUUCAGGUGUAGCGGUGAAAAUGCGUAGAGAUCUGAAGGAAUACCGGUGGCGAAGGCGGCCCCCCUGGACAGAUACUGACACUCAGAUGCGAAAGCGUGGGGAGCAAACAGGAUUAGAUACCCCUGGUAG
rnacentral:rRNA from 1 species